UGUUUUCCUUUUCAUGAAUACAAUUUGUAUCUAAUUUUUAUUUUUCUAUUUGAAAACAGUUUUUCUUUAUAUAUAGUUGUUAAGCUGGUGGCAGGUGUCUGGGAGUUUUGGUUACUCAAGUUUUCAGCCACUAGACUUUAGGGAGUGGGAUUUUGUUAGGCUGCUACUGUAUUUCAAGUGAUACGAGCCCUACUGGAAAAUGAUUUACAAACAGAAAAGAUGUAGUUAGGUUGUUGAGAAUUCAUGUUUAAAGUUUUCAAAAGUGAGGGUAAGGAGAAUUUAAAAAAAAGUUAUUAAAGAAAAAAUAGAGACUUUCCUGUAAGUUUUCUGCUGGAUGGUGGUGUGUGACUCAUUCCUUUAAUCCCAGGACUCAGGAGGCAGAGCCAGGACCCUAAUUUUGAGGUCACCUUGGUUUACAGAUUGAGUUCCAAGGCUACACACAGAAACCCUGUCUUGGGGGAAAAAAAAAAAAAGAAAAAGUUUCUCUUUUUAUUAAAAUUCUUUUGUUGUUGUUGGUAUGACUGUGGGCAUGUGUGGAAAUCAGAUGACUAAUUUUUAAGUUUGUUUACUUGUUCCAUUUUGGUUUUUUGUUUAAAUUUGAUUUUACAUGAAUGAAUGAUUUACUUGCAUGUAGGUAUGUGCACUGGCUUUUUGUCAGUGGAGGUCAGAAAAGGGGAUCAGAUUCUUGGGACUGUUAUAAAUGGUUGUGAGCCACUGUGUAAGCUCUGGGAACUGAGCCCCUGUCUUGUGUCAGGAAUAGCAAGUGGUCUUAACUGCUGAGCCAUCAUUUUUCUAGUCCUUUCUGCCUUGUUUUUUGAGGCACGAUCUCUUAUUGUUUCUACCUCCCAUUUCACUACAGGACCUCCAGGAUUAUAGACCCCCCCCCCCACUGCCAUUUAAAGAGUCUUUAAAAUAAAAAAAAUUUAUUUUAGUACAUGUAUUGGUGUUUUGCCUGCAUGUAUGGCCAUGAACAGCAUGUAUGCCUGGUACCCUUGAGGGUCCACAAAGUGGUGUUAGAUGAGUUAUAGAUAGUUGUAAGGUGCCAUGUAGGUGCUGAGAAUUGAACUUGGGUCCUUUGGAAGAGCACCAGUCCUCUAAACUUCUGAGGCAUCUUCAUCUCAUGAAUCUGGCUUUUUAACCAACUGAGCCAUUUUGUCAGUUCACUGCAGAAUUUUUAACAAGAGUCUUAAAAAAAGACCUUCCUUAAGUAUUACCUCAUCUCAAAAUCUAAUCCUUCUCACAAAGCACAUAUAUACUAAACAAAACAUAAAAAGCAGUCAACACACGCAGUACUGUACACCAUGUUAGAGAUCCUCCUACUCAUGGGCUGGAGAGAUGGCUCAGCGGUUCAGAGCGUCGACAUCUGUCAUGAGAUCUGAUGCCCUCUUCUGGAGUGUCUGAAGACAGCUACAGUGUACUCACAUAUAAUAAAU
rnacentral:lncRNA from 1 species